CAAUAGCGUAUAUUAAAGUUGUUGCAGUUAAAAAGCUCGUAGUUGGAUUUCUGAUCGAGACAUCAGGUCGGGUCCGAGAGGAUCAUGUACUUUGAUUUUGUUUUGAUCAUCCUUGGGGAGAGCAUUUCUGGCAUUCAGUUGUUGGGAUUGGGAUCCUCAUCGUUUACUGUGAAAAAAUUAGAGUGUUCAAAGCAGGCCUCGGCCUCUGAAUACAUUAGCAUGGAAUAAUAAGAUAGGACUUUGGUGGUCUAUUUUGUUGGUUUGCACGCCAAAGUAAUGAUUAAUAGGGAUAGUUGGGGGUAUUCGUAUUCAAUUGUCAGAGGUGAAAUUCUUGGAUUUAUGGAAGACGAACUACUGCGAAAGCAUUUACCAAGGAUGUUUUCAUUAA
rnacentral:rRNA from 1 species